rnacentral:rRNA from 1 species
UACAGAGGGUGCGAGCGUUGUCCGGAAUCACUGGGCGUAAAGGGCGCGUAGGUGGCUUGGUAAGCGUGUGGUGAAAGUCCGGGGCUCAACCCCGGAUCUGCCGUGCGAACUGCUGAGCUUGAGCACUGUAGAGGCAGGUGGAAUUUCGGGUGUAGCGGUGGAAUGCGUAGAUAUCCGAAAGAACACCAGUGGCGAAGGCGGCCUGCUGGGCAGUAGCUGACACUGAGGCGCGACAGCGUGGGGAGCAAACAGG